GGAGGGAUGGCCGAGCGGACGAAGGCGGCAGUCUUGAAAACUGCUGGGCCCCGCAGGGGUCCCGUGGGUUCGAAUCCCACUCCCUCCG
rnacentral:tRNA from 1 species